rnacentral:rRNA from 1 species
AAGACAUGCAAGUCGUACGCGAACGACCUUUCGGGGUUAAGUAGAGUGGCGAACGGGUUAGUAACGCGUGGGAACAUACACAGCACAGGGGGAUAACCAUUGGAAACGAUGGCUAAUACCGCAUACGCCCUAUUGGGGAAAGAUUUAUCGGUGUUGGAUUGGCCCGCGUUAGAUUAGCUAGUUGGUGGGGUAAUGGCUCACCAAGGCGACGAUUUAUAGCUGGUUUGAGAGGAUGGAUCAGCAACACUGGAACUGAGACACGGUCCAGACUCCUACGGGAGGCAGCAGUCGGGAAUAUUGUGCAAUGGGGGCAACCCUGACACAGCCAUGCCGCGUGAGUGAAGAAGGCCUUAGGGUUGUAAAGCUCUUUCAGAUGUGAGGAUGAUGACGAUAGCAUCAGAAGAAGCUCCGGCUAACUUCGUGCCAGCAGCCGUGGUAAUACGAAGGGAGCUAGCGUUGUUCGGAAUUACUGGGCGUAAAGGGCGUGUAGGCGGAUUAUCAAGU